rnacentral:lncRNA from 1 species
GGGGGGGAGUGGGUUUACGUGUAAUAUUGUUUUAUUGGAGAAUAUGUGUUUGAUAAGAAGAGAUAGAAAAAUAAAUUAUGGUUUUAAUGGGAGACAAAUAAAAAUACAAUCACCAUUUUUCUCUCUACACCUAAAUUUUAUUAUUUUAUCUGCAUCCACUGUUCAAUUUAAAACUUAACAAUAUUAUUCUAUACAUCCCCAAUGUUCUGAAAAGACCCCUUAUGUUGACCGGUGAGAAGUAUUGCCUAUAUUGUAGAAGCAAUUCUCAUCCCCAGGGAAGGGGAAGGGUCCGAAGGGAUAAAGUAUGGUGGUGGCAGAGACAAGCUGGACAGACAGGUUGGGAGUGUUGGGGUGAAGGUGGAGGUGCAGGGUGAUGAGAUGGGAAGGAUGAUGGAACGGUGGUGGCAUGGUAAAAUUGGCAUUUUGAUGAAAUAAUACCUCUUUUACACACUACUUCCGAAACACCCUCGUGAAAAGAUAGUAGCAUAGGGACUUCUCUCCAUUUCAGAAGAAAAGUUGAACUUUUUCUUGGUGUAUGAAGGAUGGCUAAUUGUCUAUUAAAAGGUGGGUCUGAAUAGCAUCUCACCUUAUGGUUUCCUUCUCUGACACUAAGUAAAUUGAUUGCUACACAGUUUUAAAUAUUGCUUUCUUCAUUGAGACAAAUUUCAGAAGUUACUUGAUGACCAUUUGUAAGACAACAGGUUGAAUAAUCGAGGUGCCGCUUGGCUUAGUCAAGAAAUCCUUAGUGUGCAUGGACAUUGAGCACAAGUGCUUACACCUUAAAGUUUAUAGGACACCUACAUUUCUGCAUUAGAGCCAAGAUCUCGAGGGUGGAUUUGAAUAUCUCUCUGGCCAAUUAUUAUUUAACAAAUGCCAUGAAAUUACAGAAUAGCAUGCCAUGUUUAAACAGAAUUAAAUGGCAAAUGCACUGAUUGUAACACUAAGCUAGUUAUUUAUUACUCAAUAUCCACCUAGUCUCUUCAAAAUCUCAUCCUCCAUUCCCAGACCCCAUUCAAAUGAUUUAAUAAAAUCCAUCCAAUCAUAAGAUUAUUAUAAUCACCAUCACAUUUACCUUCAGCUGUAACAUUUCACAACCAUAUGACAUCAUUCAAAUUUCUCAGUAGAAAUACCAACAAAACUCACAGAAGGAAAAAAAAAAAUUAAACAAUGUGCAUCAAGCAACAACUGAUUACCCUUCUCUAGAAUGAUUUAAACUAAUUGUCCCAACUUGUAAACAAAUACUAUCCACAUAAGAAGAGAACCGAUCCAAAUCCACUAAUACCACAACCAUACAAUCAGACACAAAAGAUCUUGAUCAACACAGAUCUCUGAGCAGAACCCAGAUCAAGAAUCACAUUAAGGCAUGCAUACAAUAUAUAGAAUCAUAAAACAAUUUAUAUGCUAGGAGAGUGAAGCAUUAUUUGGAAUAGGGACCUUUCUGAAGUCUUCCGGGGCAACACCCGGGAGGUAGAAGCCGAAGGCAUUGUUUGAACAGAGAAGAACGCAAACGAUUUUAAAUACGAAAAUUGUACGCAUUGCAUGAGAUCUAACAGUUUCUCCCAUGGCGAUGAAGCAACAAAUCUUUCUUUCAGAUCCAGAGAGAGAGAGAGAGGAGAAACGAAUGGGCUUUUCGUGUAUGAACGAAGCUGUCGGUUGAUCUGGGUAAUAUGUUCGGG